rnacentral:rRNA from 1 species
UCCGCAAUGGACGAAAGUCUGACGGAGCAACGCCGCGUGAGUGAUGAAGGUUUUCGGAUCGUNAAGCUCUGUUGUUAGGGAAGAANNCGNNNCNUUCAAAUAGGGCGGCACCUUGACGGUACCUAACCAGNNNGNCNCGGCUAACUACGUGCCAGCAGCCGCGGUAAUACGUAGGUGGCAAGCGUUGUCCGGAAUUAUUGGGCGUAAAGGGCUCGCAGGCGGUUUCUUAAGUCUGAUGUGAAAGCCCCCGGCUCAACCGGGGAGGGUCAUUGGAAACUGGGGAACUUGAGUGCAGAAGAGGAGAGUGGAAUUCCACGUGUAGCGGUGAAAUGCGUAGAGAUGUGGAGGAACACCAGUGGCGAAGGCGACUCUCUGGUCUGUAACUGACGCUGAGGAGCGAAAGCGUGGGGAGCGAACAG